rnacentral:rRNA from 2 species
AGAGUUUGAUCCUGGCUCAGGACGAACGCUGGCGGCGUGCCUAAUACAUGCAAGUCGAACGAACUCUGGUAUUGAUUGGUGCUUGCAUCAUGAUUUACAUUUGAGUGAGUGGCGAACUGGUGAGUAACACGUGGGAAACCUGCCCAGAAGCGGGGGAUAACACCUGGAAACAGAUGCUAAUACCGCAUAACAACUUGGACCGCAUGGUCCGAGUUUGAAAGAUGGCUUCGGCUAUCACUUUUGGAUGGUCCCGCGGCGUAUUAGCUAGAUGGUGRGGUAACGGCUCACCAUGGCAAUGAUACGUAGCCGACCUGAGAGGGUAAUCGGCCACAUUGGGACUGAGACACGGCCCAAACUCCUACGGGAGGCAGCAGUAGGGAAUCUUCCACAAUGGACGAAAGUCUGAUGGAGCAACGCCGCGUGAGUGAAGAAGGGUUUCGGCUCGUAAAACUCUGUUGUUAAAGAAGAACAUAUCUGAGAGUAACUGUUCAGGUAUUGACGGUAUUUAACCAGAAAGCCACGGCUAACUACGUGCCAGCAGCCGCGGUAAUACGUAGGUGGCAAGCGUUGUCCGGAUUUAUUGGGCGUAAAGCGAGCGCAGGCGGUUUUUUAAGUCUGAUGUGAAAGCCUUCGGCUCAACCGAAGAAGUGCAUCGGAAACUGGGAAACUUGAGUGCAGAAGAGGACAGUGGAACUCCAUGUGUAGCGGUGAAAUGCGUAGAUAUAUGGAAGAACACCAGUGGCGAAGGCGGCUGUCUGGUCUGUAACUGACGCUGAGGCUCGAAAGUAUGGGUAGCAAACAGGAUUAGAUACCCUGGUAGUCCAUACCGUAAACGAUGAAUGCUAAGUGUUGGAGGGUUUCCGCCCUUCAGUGCUGCAGCUAACGCAUUAAGCAUUCCGCCUGGGGAGUACGGCCGCAAGGCUGAAACUCAAAGGAAUUGACGGGGGCCCGCACAAGCGGUGGAGCAUGUGGUUUAAUUCGAAGCUACGCGAAGAACCUUACCAGGUCUUGACAUACUAUGCAAAUCUAAGAGAUUAGACGUUCCCUUCGGGGACAUGGAUACAGGUGGUGCAUGGUUGUCGUCAGCUCGUGUCGUGAGAUGUUGGGUUAAGUCCCGCAACGAGCGCAACCCUUAUUAUCAGUUGCCAGCAUUAAGUUGGGCACUCUGGUGAGACUGCCGGUGACAAACCGGAGGAAGGUGGGGAUGACGUCAAAUCAUCAUGCCCCUUAUGACCUGGGCUACACACGUGCUACAAUGGAUGGUACAACGAGUUGCGAACUCGCGAGAGUAAGCUAAUCUCUUAAAGCCAUUCUCAGUUCGGAUUGUAGGCUGCAACUCGCCUACAUGAAGUCGGAAUCGCUAGUAAUCGCGGAUCAGCAUGCCGCGGUGAAUACGUUCCCGGGCCUUGUACACACCGCCCGUCACACCAUGAGAGUUUGUAACACCCAAAGUCGGUGGGGUAACCUUUUAGGAACCAGCCGCCUAAGGUGGGACAGAUGAUUAGGGUGAAGUCGUAACAAGGUAGCC